rnacentral:rRNA from 1 species
AUUGAACGCUGGCGGCAGGCUUAACACAUGCAAGUCGAUCGGUAACAGAGAGAAGCUUGCUUCUCUGCUGACGAGCGGCGGACGGGUGAGGAAUGCCCAGGAAUCUGCCUAGUAGUGGGGGAUAACUUGCCGAAAGGUAAGCUAAUACCGCAUACGUCCUACGGGCGAAAGGAGGGGACCUUCGGGCUUUGCGCUAUUAGAUGAGCUUAGGUCGGAUUAGUUAGUUGGUGAGGUAAUGGCUCACCAAGACCGCGAUCCGUAACUGGUCUGAGAGGGUGAUCAGUCACACUGGAACUGAGGCACGGUCCAGACUCCUACGGGAGGCAGCAGUGGGGAAUAUUGGACAAUGGGGGGAACCCUGAUCCAGCCAUGCCGCGUGUGUGAAGAAGGUCUUAGGAUUGUAAAGCACUUUAAGUUGGGAGGAAGAGCAGUUAACUAAUAUUUGACUGGUUUGACGUUACCGACAGAAUAAGCACCGGCUAACUUCGUGCCAGCAGCCGCAGUAA